rnacentral:sRNA from 1 species
GAGAUGGGUGUGCUGGGGACUGGCCGCGGACCCCUAACCUAUGUCCCCGGUAUCCCUCCGGGAGCGGCUCAACCCAGCCCAUCGCUCUGGCCCCGUUCUGGCCCUGCAGGGUGGUGGUUGGGACCGUGAAAUGAGCGCGCGAGUGAUUGGCUGGUGGACAGAAGGCACUGCAGCCUGAAAUGGCAGAGUCUGGUGCUGACGAUCCGCGAGAAGAUCAAUGCUGCCAUCCAGGAUAUGCCAGAGAGCGAAGAGAUCGCCCAGCUGCUGUCUGGGUCCUGUGAGUGCUUAGGGGCUGUCACUGGAGUCCCCUCUUUGCUGAGGUAGUAUGUAUCAGCUGAGCUACUCUCUUGUUAUUUAGCCACCAGGGCUGGCCUGUAGAGAGGGAGCGAUUUUUAUUUGAGGUAUAGAUACUGGCUUCUUGCACUAUGAAAUGAUUAAGGGAAAAGCUACACACUAAAGUUACUGGUAGUAUAUUAUACAUG